UGGGGAAUAUUGGACAAUGGGCGCAAGCCUGCUCCAGCCAUGCCGCGUGAGUGAUGAAGGCCCUAGGGUUGUAAAGCUCUUUCACCGGUGAAGAUAAUGACGGUAACCGGAGAAGAAGCCCCGGCUAACUUCGUGCCUGCAGCCGCGGUAAUACGAAGGGGGCUAGCGUUGUUCGGAUUUACUGGGCGUAAAGCGCACGUAGGCGGACUUUUAAAUCAGGGGUGAAAUCCCGGGGCUCAACCCCGGAACUGCCUUUGAUACUGGAAGUCUUGAGUAUGGUAGAGGUGAGUGGAAUUCCGAGUGUAGAGGUGAAAUUCGUAGAUAUUCGGAGGAACACCAGUGGCGAAGGCGGCUCACUGGACCAUUACUGACGCUGAGGUGCGAAAGCGUGGGGAGCAAACAGG
rnacentral:rRNA from 1 species